AUGCUUAUGUUUUUCAUAGAACUUAAUGAUUCUUGCUUGUAUCUCUAUUAUGCAAUUCAUGUAGGGAACUUGUAAGGAAUGUUUUGGGUUGUCGUAUGCAAUCAUCCAACCCAAUAACUUGUGGAAAAACUGAGGGUUAAUUAGUGCAAUUCACGGUUAAUUUGGGGCAUUGAGUAUUAAUAGCUUAUCGAAAAGCAACUGAAAAUCAAUUCAUGUUCAAGUGUGUCAUGUGUGAAGAAUGGAUCUCUAGCUAAUCCAUCAACCAUAUAUUUAGUUUUACUUUUUAUCUCAAUCACAACCAAAACCAAUACCCCCCAUUUAUUUUCUUGUAUCAAAGUGUGCUUAAGUUUGUUUUGAACUCUUUGAGUCUAGUUUAGUGUUUUAAAACCUACUUUUGUGUUUUUAAGUUUCUUCUUAUAUUCUUGAGUCUUGUUUAAUAUUUUUAAAUUAAUUUAGAAUAGAUUAGCAAGCCCUCCUAAUCCCCGGCCUAGAACGAUACCCUACUUACAUCUAUACUACAAUUGUCAAAAAGAGGGUUUAAUUUGUGUGUCAAGUAAUUCUCACAUCAGGUAACUAAGUGUUUUUUAUGCAAAUUCGUGGGAUUUUAUCACCCAUUACUUAUAGACUUGUUCCUUGCUGUUUUAAGUGUUUUAAGCAGUUUUGGUGUGUUUAGUGUGUUUUGACAUAUAACUCCGAAAAUCACAUAAAAAUUUGAAAAAAAAAGUGUUUUGAAAAGCCUAAAAAGAGUGUUUUGAGUCGUUUUUGUGUGUUUGUGUCUUAGGGUACCUUCCAACACAAUGAUGAGGAUUUGGUUUUUAAUUGCAUGACUGUUAAAAAGAGUUAUAAACAUGGAUGAAAGUUUGAUUGACUCUUUGUUUAUGCUUGGUUGUGGUUCUAACUUAUGAAUUCACAUGUAAUCAUAAAGAAAAAAAUCAGUUUUUGUAACAUGCUUGAAGGAAGGAACUCAAACUAACGCUACAUCCUUGUGAGACUUGAGCCUAAACGUUAUUUGGAGAGUUAUUAAUCUGUGCAUUCUUGUUUUCUAAAGUCGUUGCAUGAUCUCAUCAUUCUUUGCUUGGUUGCUACUUAGAAUGCUUUUCAUCAUUAUAGAUCCAAAUACUAAAACUCAUGCCUGUUCCAUUCAAAGCAUGAUAUUGAGUGCAUCACAAAUAUUCAAGAUGAAAUUGUUUAGUUACCACCAAAGCCAAAAAGCCUAUCCCUUUUGUCAUAUGUUUUGUAGGUUUAACCCCAUUUGAGCCUUCGUUAGCCUAUUUUCUUUGUUAACCACAUUAUCCCUACCUAGCCUAGAUUAGGACUGUCCACACCCUUGUUCUUAAAGAAUAGAGAAGCAUGACUUAGAGGGAACUCCUUUUCAUUUUUGCAGAAAAAAAGUGUGGGGGAAGGGUUUUCAAAGUGUGAUUUGUGUGCCAAAAGAAAGAAAAGGGCAUAAAAAAAAAGAAAAAAAAAUUUGUGGAAAAAGAAAAAGAAAAAGAAAAGUGUGAAAAGAAUGAAAAAGAGCUGAAAAAUAAGUGAGAAUGAACUCACAUGUGUUGGUUGUUGAAGAAAGGGUCCAAAAGUUUGAAUUUCACUCUAAGUGUAGCAUGAAUCUUCCCUUGUGUUAAAAGUUUAUUUUUGCAUUCAAAAGUGAAUUCUAAGUGUCAAUUUCAUUACUUUGCUUACUAUUUCUUUAAGAACCUUUGUUUAUCCUUACCUUCCUUUGUUAGCCAAUACCCUUAGCCCCGUUACAACCCUUAGACUUCAAUAUUAAGUGUUGUGUAUUUCAAUAUGUGGAGUUUGGAAUUGGUAUGAGCAUAUGAUAUCACUGGUUCUCGCUUCUAAGUAGUAGCAUUCCGUUCAUGAGAUCAUAUAUAUACAUGCAUUAAUAAUUCCAGAAAAGUGCUUUCUUUGCUAUAACAUAUGUGAGUACUCAUUUUCAUAUUUACAUCAAUCUUCUCACAUAUACCUAGUAUAGGGAGUAUAGUCAGAAAAUCCGUGUGAAAAUAGAGUGUAUAUCAAGUAAGGAAUUGAGGGAAUUCUCCAAGGCAUGUUACUACAUUCAAAAUGUUGUUUUAAGUGAUUAAAUUCGAACUAGUAAAUGGUGACUAUGAUUAAGUAUGCUCGAGGGUAAGGAUGACUAAAAUCUGUGUAAGUAAUGAUUUUUAGCAUGUCAUCUGCAUUGGAAAUCCCUAACACAAUUGUUGGAAAGUCUAGGUUGUGUUUUGUAUUGUUUUGUUUUGCUCGAGGACUAGCAAAAGCUAAGUGUGGGGGAAUUUGAUAGGAGCAUAUUUAUGCGACUUAAUUAGCUUGUUUCCUUACAUUUACGUUGCUAGUACUUAAUAAUUUUAGUAUUUUAAGCUAUUUUCGUGCAAUUUCAGGUUUUAAGGACAAAGUAUGCAAACAUGUGCAUUUUGGAGCCUUUUGGAGCAGUUUUGGACAUCAAAUGGAUUGCAUAUGCUUGGAGGUAAGAAGAUGGACGAAAUUGAAGAUC
rnacentral:lncRNA from 1 species